AUUGAACGCUGGCGGCAUGCUUUACACAUGCAAGUCGAACGGCAGCACGGGAGCAAUCCUGGUGGCGAGUGGCGAACGGGUGAGUAAUAUAUCGGAACGUGCCUUAUAGUGGGGGAUAACGCAGCGAAAGUUGCGGUAAUACCGCAUACGCCCUGAGGGGGAAAGCGGGGGAUCGAAAGACCUCGCGCUACUAGAGCGGCCGAUAUCUGAUUAGCUAGUUGGUGAGGUAAAGGCUCACCAAGGCUUCGAUCAGUAGCUGGUCUGAGAGGACGAUCAGCCACACUGGGACUGAGACACGGCCCAGACUCCUACGGGAGGCAGCAGUGGGGAAUUUUGGACAAUGGGGGCAACCCUGAUCCAGCAAUGCCGCGUGAGUGAAGAAGGCCUUCGGGUUGUAAAGCUCUUUUGUCAGGGAAGAAACAGCAGCUCUAACACAGCUGUGAAUGACGGUACCUGAAGAAUAAGCACCGGCUAACUACGUGCCAGCAGCCGCGGUAAUACGUAGGGUGCAAGCGUUAAUCGGAAUUACUGGGCGUAAAGCGUGCGCAGGCGGUUAUACAAGACAGGCGUGAAAUCCCCGGGCUUAACCUGGGAAUUGCGUCUGUGACUGUAUGGCUAGAGUGUGUCAGAGGGGGGUAGAAUUCCACGUGUAGCAGUGAAAUGCGUAGAUAUGUGGAGGAAUACCAAUGGCGAAGGC
rnacentral:rRNA from 1 species